GUAGCUGGUCUGAGAGGAUGGCCAGCCACACUGGGACUGAGACACGGCCCAGACUCCUACGGGAGGCAGCAGUGGGGAAUAUUGGACAAUGGGGGCAACCCUGAUCCAGCAAUGCCGCGUGUGUGAAGAAGGCCUGAGGGUUGUAAAGCACUUUCAGUGGGGAGGAGGGUUGAUAGGUUAAGAGCUAGUUAAUUGGACGUUACCCACAGAAGAAGCACCGGCUAACUCCGUGCCAGCAGCCGCGGUAAUACGGAGGGUGCGAGCGUUAAUCGGAAUUACUGGGCGUAAAGGGUGCGUAGGUGGUUUAUUAAGUUAUCUGUGAAAUCCCUGGGCUUAACCUGGGCAGGUCAGAUAAGACUGUUUGACUCGAGUAUGG
rnacentral:rRNA from 1 species